AGAUGUUGAUGGCGUGCUCACCAGUUGGUCGUUGAAUAUCGAGGGGUGAAAACGUUCGUUCGCAAACGCGGUCCACUCGGUGGUUGACGGCGGCGUGUGUGUUUCGGUGACGAUUACGCGAGCAACAACUCGGGGGGCAAUCAGUGGGUGGCGUCCACCCAAAUUUAUCCUCCAGCCCAAUAUGUACGGGAGCGACGGGACGUUGUUUUUUCCAUCUAUACACUUUUGACCCUGGCCAUAAAAGCAGUCGGAUUGAGUUUCGCGUGGAAAUUGGGUGAAUUUUCCAACUUCAGGAUCCUUCGAAAAGUGGAUUUAUAAGUGAAAAUGAGUGCUAGACCGUGAUAUUGAACAGGACAUUGGGCGAAGCGGCAUCCAAGAAGUGUGCGGUGCUCAACAGGAACAAUGUGAAAAGUAGUAGCCGUGUAGGUCCACAAGUGUUUCCAAUUUCACUCCAAUUUUCACACUUUUCUGAGCACCUUACACCCUCUAUUAGCAUUCUUUGGCAAACGGGAUACCCAUAGCUUUACGACCUUUCAAGUGCAAUAUUCGCUAAAAUCGCCGCCAGUGAUCGAAGUGGUGCAUUGUGAGAAAAAACCUUCGAGCAACUUUUCAUCUUUGCAAAGCUGUAUGGAGAAAAAAUGAAUCACAAAUCUCCAUGAUGGAUGUAUUGCUAGCAGUCUUCAGCAUCGUCGUCGUUGGUUAGAGGCAGAAAAAAGAGCAACUGUGGAAGGAAGGGUAUAGCAGACGAACCAAACGGAGGUGGAGGAAACUUUGGCAUCGUUGUGAUAUGGCGAGCAGCAAUUUUCAGCGCUAAUCGAGCAUCGUAAGGAAUUUCCGCUCAUUUUGCCAUAAUUUGAGCUUUUUGCUGCUUGCUAAAUAACGUCGGAUUCACCAUCGGCCCUCCCCAGGUGCAAACACAUUUUGUAUGAAUGCGGGAUGAAUUCCGGCAGCCAACAGAGGCUGGUGACG